rnacentral:rRNA from 1 species
UACAGAGGGUGCGAGCGUUAAUCGGAAUUACUGGGCGUAAAGCGUGCGUAGACGGUUAUUUAAGUCGGGUGUAAAAGCCCCGGGCUCAACCUGGGAAUUGCAUUCGAGACUGAAUAGCUAGGGUACGGUAGAGGGAAGCGGAAUUUCCGGUGUAGCGGUGAAAUGCGUAGAUAUCGGAAGGAACAUCAGUGGCGAAAGCGGCUUCCUGGACCAGUACCGACGUUCAGGCACGAAAGCGUGGGGAGCAAACAGG